ACAGUGAUGGUUCAAAGACAGAAUUCUUGACUUCUAGGCAGGAGACCCAGGUUUGAUUCCUGGUCAAUGCA
rnacentral:tRNA from 1 species